AAACCAGCACCUCAAGUGGUCAGGAUGAUUAUUGGGCCUAAAGCAUCCGUAGCCGGCUCUGUAAGUUUUCGGUUAAAUCUGUAUGCUCAACAUACAGGCCGCCGGGAAUACUGCAGAGCUAGGGAGUGGGAGAGGUAGACGGUACUCGGGAGGAAGUGGUAAAAUGCUUUGAUCUCUCGAUGACCACCUGUGGCGAAGGCGGUCUACCAGAACACGUCCGACGGUGAGGGAUGAAAGCUGGGGGAGCAAACCGGAUUAGAAACCCCGGUAGUCC
rnacentral:rRNA from 1 species